CGGGAGUCGCGCAUCAGCAGGCGACGGGGCGACGAGCAGCCACGACGCGAGCGGAACCUGGUACCGACCUGAGGGCGUCCUGCAGAACGGGAGCAGCGCCACUUUGGGACCUGCUGGAGGAUAAACACACAGACCUUUUGACUUUUGUAGAAAUUUCCACUCCCUUUUCUUCAUACAUCUUCCUUCUCGCUACCCCCCACCCCCCACCGCCACCCCUCACCCCGUUCUUUCUGCACUAUUCUGCUUUGGAGAAAACCCAAAGAAUCCACAUGUGUGAGGAGCUGUUGAGGAGCAGACAAGGACGAAUAAAGUUUUAAGUAAAGUAAUUAGAGGAGAGCUCGUGUUAAAAUGUAUGUUUAUCAUUAUAAACGCUGAAAAUCCAAUACAACUCUCCACUCCUGCCUUUUCAUCAUCACUUUACAGUCUCAGCAAACAGGAAGUAGAAAAACCAAAUACUGCAUCACCGUGUUAACCAGACAGUAGUCACGUCAGCAGCGUGUCGUUCUCGUUUUGUCCACAGAGUGGCAGCACUGAACAGGAAAAGGUGGGAAAGGUUAUAAAUAUGAUCAGACACUCAGUCUGUGUCAAAAAAUCAAUUGUACUUGACUUUGGGACAAUCUGUGUCAUAAUAAUAGCUAUGAAAUAGAAAUAGGCAUAAUUCAGUUAUUUGCAUCAUGUCUUUUCAUAAAGGUACAUGAAUAAACUAAACUAAUUUUAGAAUUUAUGGGAGUAUAUGUUGCAAAGUCACUACACCUGUGGGUUAUAAAUAUGUAGAACAUUUCAUUGCUUUUUGCAGUGGUGGCUGAAAUAUUUAAGUCUAGACCAGCCAGCUGACAUUAUUAUCCUAGAGCCACUCAGUUGGAGCGGGUACAUCUAUACUAUGAAGCUAUGAUCUGAUUUUCAGUCACUUCCAUUAGGAAUACGUUUAAACGGGUAGACGGCUCCUCACUGUUUAAUUAACCUGUAUUACUUAUGUUCUUUUUUUAAUGACUCUGAUGAAAUAUAAAUACUCAAAUCCAAAACUGAUUUCACAUAACUCAGCGAAUGACUCACACAGACUCCAGAGGUCACUUUGCAGUUUAUUACGAUAAAUCUUAAUAUUUUUAUACAUCCAUACAGAAAUUGCAAAAUAAUUUUUGGUGUGUGUAAACAACUUUGGACCGAAGCAUCAGUCAAAAAUAAACCAUAGGGAAAACAGCACAGGCAGGAAUGGAGGAAUGACGGGGUGCGUGUGAAGCGUGGCCCCACGUGCUCCUGUCGCCCGUCACACUGGACGAUGGAGCCUCUGCACCGACGCAUCAAAGCUACUCAGAAUCAUCCAGGUCAGCGUCGGGGUCCACAGCACGUGACGAUGAGCGCACACAUUUAUAUCAGGGCAUAUUAAGGCGUUCGAGAUGAGUGUGCGUGGAGGUUGCGGUGCAGAGCGUCUACUCAGCGGAGCCUGUGGUCGCUCGGUCUUUUAAUGGAACAAACAACAUGUCAGCUAUUUGCACAAUCACCGCAAACACAGAAGCGUUUCUCGACAGCGGAGGUUUUGGCAGUGUUCGUCGGUAGUCAGGAGAACUACGCUCAAGUCUGUGCCGCAGGAGAAUGAACCUGGCGAGGAUUUGUGUAUAUUAAUUCCAUAAGCGCUCCUAGAAAAAUAUUUCAUUUAAUGCAGCAUUGUGCCUGUGCAAAAUGAAACAAGUUGCACAAGGUUGAAUUGUGAUUAUUUCCCUCGUUCGUUUGCACCAGGCUCAGGUUUCACUUUACUCGUUGGUGAUUUUUAUUAUUACAACUAUUAAAGCAAACCUCUAUGAAGAGCUCACUAAUCCUUCACACUAAAUACACUUCUCAUAUUACUUCGUGUCCAAAUCGCACCUGGGCGACUCUCUUGAGCUUUGUUGAAACCCUGAGGAGAAAUCUUUAGUUUAAACUUUUAAAAUAUUCUAUGCUCAAUUUGAUUUUGGACAUUAUUUUGAACGUAUGUUGACUUUUAAUUUAGCCACUUUUUAUUUUUGAGGAUUAGUUUGUCCUCAAAGUUGAACAACAUGAACAAGUGUUCAAUUACAAAGUAAUAGAGGUUUGAAAACAACUUGAUUUUUAGGUGUGAAGAUUUUUGGAUGUCAAAACCAUGGUACAAUCAUUGUCUUUGUAUAAUAUAUAGAUAAUAUAUAGAUACUAAUACAAAACUAAUAGUCUAAAGGUGGCAUGCUUGAGCAGGCAGCAAAGAAAAGGAGGACCACGUCUCCUUUUCUUAUGAUUUAAACGCUUUUACUUUCACAACAUGGAGGUAAAGUUUGUAGCAGAGAGGCUCUAAAAGGGUCCAAAUUUUGAUCACUGGGGAAAAUUUCGCACGACAGCAGGAAGGAAUUUUAAAAAUCAAC